GUCUCUUUGAUAUAUAAUAAUAAGGAGUUGGGCCUGCUCGGUGAUAUUUUUAACAGCUGCGGUAUUAUAACUGUACUAAGGUAGCAUAAUAAUUUGCCUUAUAAAUUAGGGCUAGAAUGAAUGGUUUGACGAAAAUUAUACUGUCUCUACUUUAAUUAUUAGAAAUUAAUUUUUAUAGUGAAAAAGCUUGGAUGAUUUAAAGGGACGAGAAGACCCUAUUGAGCUUUAUGUUAAAAUAUAUAUAAUUAUAAAAUAUUAUUUAUUUUUUAUUUUUGGUUGGGGUGAUCAAGGAAUAAAAUUUUAAUAGUAUAAUUUCCUUAUUAAUAUUAUUUGUUAGAAUAAUAAACCAAAAAUUUUGCUUAAAUGAUAAGUUACCAUAGGGAUAACAGCGUAAUUUUUUUAGAGAGUUCAUAUUAAAAAAAAAGAUUGCGACCUCGAUGUUGGAUUAAAAUAACCAUUAGGUGUAGAAGCUUUAUUUGGUAAAUCUGUUCGAUUUUUAAAAUUUU
rnacentral:rRNA from 1 species